AUUGAACGCUGGCGGCAUGCCUUACACAUGCAAGUCGAACGGUAACAGGUCUUCGGAUGCUGACGAGUGGCGAACGGGUGAGUAAUACAUCGGAACGUGCCUAGUAGUGGGGGAUAACUACUCGAAAGAGUGGCUAAUACCGCAUGAGAUCUACGGAUGAAAGCAGGGGAUCGCAAGACCUUGUGCUACUAGAGCGGCCGGUGGCAGGUUAGGUAGUUGGUGGGAUAAAAGCUUACCAAGCCGACGAUCUGUAGCUGGUCUGAGAGGACGAUCAGCCACACUGGGACUGAGACACGGCCCAGACUCCUACGGGAGGCAGCAGUGGGGAAUUUUGGACAAUGGGCGAAAGCCUGAUCCAGCAAUGCCGCGUGCAGGAUGAAGGCCUUCGGGUUGUAAACUGCUUUUGUACGGAACGAAAAGCCCCGGGUUAAUACCCUGGAGUCAUGACGGUACCGUAAGAAUAAGCACCGGCUAACUACGUGCCAGCCGCCGCAGUAA
rnacentral:rRNA from 1 species